GGGUUUGCUUUACUUAGAGGUGGGGGUGGGGCCAGGCGAGCGUGACUGUGUGGGCUGGCGGCGAGCGUUUUUACUUCCCUCAAGUGCCCCUUUGGUUCCAGCUGGUGCCUUUGCCCAGCUGGUCCCUAGCACCUCUCCGCUCUGAGGCACCCCCUGUGUCACCCCUCCCAGAGACUUUCUCUGGUCUCUCCAGCUCUGAAUCUUCCUUGUCCCUGAAGAAGCCCUGGGGGCAGCCUGCAGUGCGCAACUUGAUGCCCAUCUCCAUUCUGCUCAGUCUGGUUUCUCUUCUUGGCAGUGCAUCAGCCUUGCUGCCCCUCCCUGAGGGCAGGCAGUAGAUGUUCCCGGGCAAGCACAGCGUGUUAGGUUUAGAAGGGACCGCAAAGAGCGUCUGACCCUCUCCUUUUGCACGUUUGUGGAAGAGGAAGUCAGGGUGGCCAGGGGAUGUAGCCAUCCAGUUCUGGACUCAAACCCAGGAUGUCCACCAUCCUUGCCCCACAUCAGGUUAGGACCCCCCACCCGCCACCUCCCUGCUUGUCAGGGGGAGGAGCUGCAUUUCCAGAGGCCUCCUUGGCUCAGACAGCUCCGCCUUCCUGCUCUCUGUCUCAUAGACGGGGUGGGCAGAGCCCAGGGUCUGGCUGCUGUGCACUGUCUUCGGGGCACUGUCCCUGGGGCUCUCUCAGGCCUAAGCUUCCCCUUUGCUCCAGCUGUAGGUCCAGCAGCUGCGCUCUGAGUCUCAGAACGGCACAGGAGUCCUUGCCGUCUGCUGAGGCAGCGUCCCCGGGGAUGGAUUCCUCAUAACUAGCCAUGUGGCCUCCAGCCAGCCGUUUGCACCAGUGAUGCUCAGAGUGUGGUCCCUGGACCCGUGCUGGCUCACAAACUAUUGUUACCUGAAGACAGUUCCUGCGAGGUUGGGAAACACCAUCCUUUCCAGGUGGGCAGAUGAGGGCAGCCAUGCUCCUGUCCCCCCAUCACUCUGACCGCUGGAUCCUGUGACGUGGUGAGAUCGGCUCAGUCCCCACCUCCUCUAGGAAGUCCACCGAGAUGGAUGCAAGCUCCAAGAGUCUCCCCAUUGUGGCCUCAUUUUCCUAAUGACUAGUUUUUCUAAUUCCUUCCUCCUCCGUGUCUUAAGCCCUGCACAGACUGCUCAUUUCGUAGUAUGUAAGGCAUCUCGCCACUGGAAGGCACUGUGGUAUGGUGGUUAUGAGGCUGGCACCUGGAGCCAGGCUGCUUAGGUUGGAAUCCUGGCUGCACAUCUUGCAGGCUGUGUGACUUUGGACAACUUGCUUGCCUCCUCUGAGCCUGGAUUUCCUUAUUAUACCUCAUGUGUUUCUGUGAUAAUUGAGUGAGGUAAUGCAGGUGAAGGUCAGGUGCCCAAUAAACAACAUGCAGAUGAGGAAACUGAGGCUCAGGAAGGAGAGGAGCUCAACUGUAGGGUGCUUGCCACGUAUGGGAGUCUAGACAUGCCCCGGCAGAGAGGGAGCCACUCUUGUCUCUGUUUGGCAGAUGAGGGAACCGAGGCUCAGUUCCCACACGUCUGCAGGACUAUGAAGAAUUGGAGUUGGGUUGCUGACUCCAGUGUCCGAUACAAAGUCCAGAGCUCCUCUGCCUGCUUGGUGACAGGAGGGUAGGAAGAUGUGGGGUUUGGGGGCCCGUAGGCAAGGAGCUCAAAGCCCAGAAUAAACAUUCUUACAUUUUUCUCUGCUGCUUUGCCCAAACCGCAGGAGGAUUUUCAAGAGAACAGGGUGUUAGUGAGAGGAUGGGCUGACAGGCUGCCCUUUGGCAUUAAAAGAUUUGCAGAAGAGAGUGGGAGUGAGCAGCAGGGGGCGCUGUGACACCAGACAAGAGCCGAGGCCUCCCCGGGAACAGAGCCAGGCUCCCCGGCUCCUGAGUGGACCUUAGGCAGGCUGCAGGACAGGAGCCUGCCUGUCUGCUCAGGGCUCUUUCACCCGAGGACUGGGAACCAGAGGAGUCUCCCGAAAUCUGGCUGUGUGGGCGUUAGGAGCACUGACUCUGGAGUCAGCGGACUUGUAUUUGAGAGCCUGCUCAGCUCUUUCUCGUGAGUGAUCCUGGGCAAGUCACUUCACUGCUUGGAGCCUCAGUGGCCUCACUGAAAAAAAUUAAUACCUGUCUCCAGGACUGUGGGGAGGAUGAACGCGAUGAUGCAGGUCCCUUUCUUAGCAGGAUGCCUGGCGCCCAUGAUCGCCCAGUGAAUGGCAGUGAUUAUUGCUAAUGAGACAUAUAUGAUUUGCAGGGUGGUGUCCCAAAGAGGUGAGGCCCCUGCUCUCCAAGGUCGAGGGUGCUGUGCUGCUCUGGCCCACCUGUGAUGGCCCUUCAGUGGGCUCACCCUCUAGACACUGACCUGUCUGUGUCUCUUUCUGCCCAAGCAAACUGCCCACCCCCAAGGGCCCUGCUUGUGGACGGAGGCCUAUGAAUCCCAUUUGGGCC
ensembl:lncRNA